rnacentral:rRNA from 1 species
UACAGAGGGUGCGAACGUUGCUCGGAAUUACUGGGCGUAAAGCGCGUGUAGGCGGGACGAUAAGUCGGAAGUGAAAUCCCCGGGCUCAACCCGGGAACUGCUUUCGAAACUGCCGUCCUCGAGUACCGGAGAGGGUGGCGGAAUUCCUGGUGUAGAGGUGAAAUUCGUAGAUAUCAGGAGGAACACCGGUGGCGAAGGCGGCCACCUGGACGGUUACUGACGCUGAGACGCUAAAGCGUGGGGAGCAAACAGG